rnacentral:rRNA from 1 species
AAGAGUUCAUAUCGACGGCGGAGUUCGGCACCUCGAUGUCGGCUCACCUUAUCCUGGUGGUGGAGAAGCUGCCAAGGGUUUAGCUGUUCGCUAAUUAAAAAGGUACGCGAGCUGGGUUCAAACCGUUGAGACCGUAAUUAAAAAUUACCAAUUACCAAUUACCAAUGAAAAUGCAUUUGCAUCAAAUUAGUAAUCAGUAAUUAGUAAUCAGUAAUUAUUAUUUCGACAGUUUGAACCGUCGAGGAAAGUAAAGAAAUAAACGAUAUUUCUUUCAAUGUUUUAAUCUGAGAAAAAACCGUGUGUACUGUGGUACACUCACGGCGGCAUACAAUUAAUUGUAUGAGAAUUUCACUUAUAUCGGUGAAGUCCCAAGUGGAUAAUACCGAGGGAAGUCGCAAGACACCCGUAGAGACUAAAUGUGAAAUAGCCAAAUUUAUUUGGUGAAAGUUAUAGUCCAAUCCCAUAAGUAAUUGUGGUUCGAUCAUUAUUAUUGAAACGCGAUAAUGAGAGAAGUAAAAUAUAGAUGCGUGAGACAGGUUGGUCUCCUAUCUACUGCAGGCGUUGAUUCUUGAGAAGAUUUGCUCCUAGUACGAGAGGACCGGAGUGAACUGACCUCUGGUGUGUGGGCUCUACUGCCAAGUGGACUGCCCAGUAGCUAUGUCGGGAAUGGAUAACCUCUGAAAGCAUCUAAGAGGGAAGCCAGCUUCAAGAUGAGGAAUCGUUUGAGAAACCUGAGAGAUGAUCAGGUUGAUAGGCACUAGGUGUACAGACAGUAAUGUCUUUAGCCGAGGUGUACUAAUCGUUCGAUU